rnacentral:rRNA from 1 species
GGGGAGGGUUGUUCGGGAUUUACUGGGCGUAAGGGUGCGUAGGUGGAUAUUUAAGUCAGAUGUGAAAUCCCUGAGCUAACUCAGGGCCUGCAUUUGAAACUGGAUGUCUGGAGUGCGGGAGAGGUAAGUGGAAUUCCUAGUGUAGCGGUGAAAUGCGUAGAGAUUAGGAAGAACACCAGUGGCGAAGGCGACUUACUGGACCGUAACUGACACUGAGGCACGAAAGCGUGGGUAGCAAACAGGAUUAGAUACCCUGGUAGUCCACGCCGUAAACGAUGAGUACUAGGUGUAGGGGGUAUCGACUCCCCCUGUGCCGCAGUUAACACAAUAAGUACUCCGCCUGGGAAGUACGAUCGCAAGAUUAAAACUCAAAGGAAUUGACGGGGGCCCGCACAAGCAGCGGAGCAUGUGGUUUAAUUCGAAGCAACGCGAAGAACCUUACCUAGACUUGACAUACCCUGAAUUACUCGUAACUGAGGAAGCUUUUCGGAGCAGGGAUACAGGUGGUGCAUGGUUGUCGUCAGCUCGUGUCGUGAGAUGUUAGGUUAAGUCCUGCAACGAGCGCAACCCUUAUCAUUAGUUGCUACCAUUCAGUUGAGCACUCUAGUGAGACUGCCCGGGUUAACCGGGAGGAAGGUGGGGAUGACGUCAAAUCAUCAUGCCCCUUAUGUCUAGGGCUACACACGUGCUACAAUGGUGAGUACAAAGAGAUGCAAUCCCGCGAGGGGGAGCCAAACUUAUAAAACUCAUCUCAGUUCGGAUUGUAGGCUGAAACUCGCCUACAUGAAGCUGGAGUUGCUAGUAAUCGCGAAUCAGCAUGUCGCGGUGAAUACGUUCCCGGGCCUUGUACACACCGCCCGUCACACCAUGAGAGUUGGCAAUACCCGAAGUCCGUGAGCUAACCUGUAAAGGGGGCAGCGGCCGAAAGUAGGGUCAGCGAUUGGGGUGAAGUCGUAACAAGGUAACCC